rnacentral:rRNA from 1 species
GAUGAACGCUAGCGGCAGGCCUAAUACAUGCAAGCCGAACGGCAAGUCUGAUAGCAAUAUUAGACCUAGAGUGGCGUAAGGGUGCGUAACACGUAUGCAAUCUACCCGCAACAGGAGGAUAGCUCGGGGAAACUCGAAUUAACCCUCCAUAAGAUCUUAGACCGGCAUCGGUUAGAGAUUAAAUCUGAGGAGGUUGCGGAUGAGCAUGCGUCUGAUUAGCUAGUUGGCGGGGUAAUGGCCCACCAAGGCGAUGAUCAGUAGGGGGAACUGAGAGGUUGAUCCCCCACACUGGCACUGAGAUACGGGACCAGACUCCUACGGGAGGCGGCAGUAGGGGAAUAUUGGUCAAUGGAUGCAAGUCUGAACCAGCCAUGCCGCGUGCAGGAAAGAAGGCCUUCUGGGUGUAAACUGCUUUUG